UGGCCCCACACGGAUCUCCCCAUCUGUGUGAAGUUUCACCCGAGCUGCUGUGGGCUGCAUUUUAAUCCCGUUGUACCGAGGCCUUUCCCCAUUCUCGGCUGGUGCGUGGAACACAGGAAGGCCGUGCAGGGGCGAGUGACCUCCUUGUUUCCCAUCGGGCUCCCGGCUGGACGCUCACACUACUUCCAGUGGUGUCUGGCUUGAAUCUCUUGGCUUUCAGGUGGUCUUUCAUUCCUUUUGCUUUUUUUUGGUACCGGGGAUCAAACUCGGGUCCUUGUGCUCGUGAGGCAGGCGGCGGAACCACUGAGCUAAAUCCCCGGCCUGGUCCUUCAUUUCUUAUCCAAACAAUGAUAGUUUUCUCUCUUCCUUUCCAACUUCUAGGAUCUUCUGAUAAGGAUCAAGAGCACCAGCAAUAGCAGAGUUACCGGCACAGAAGAGCCAGAGUGCAUGAUCCAGAGGCUGGGAGGGAGCCUGCCAUCGAGAGUGAUGAGCUCCUGGAGUUACUCACCAAAUGACCUCGUCCUACAUGUGACAAGCAAAGCUUAUUUUCCCCUCGUCAAUAAAGACUUUCUCAUCUCCUGUUACCUUUGCUGCCUUGUGUGCACCAUGCUGUUUCUGCUCUGCCAUGCCUAUUUGUCAUCCCUGCCUUGCAGUCUGCUGAAUGUGGAAUGAAACUUUUUUUUACAUGUUAAAAUAAGACAUUUAUUAUGCUAAAGAACAGAUUUUAUUCUCCAGUUUCCCAAAACACUAAAAUAAGCACACAGCGUAGUAAUUUCAUACACACUACAAAGUGAUGUAUGCACUCAUUCCCAAAAUGACUAUCUUAAGCUUCACUUUGGGAGUCCUUAAAAACUUACACUCUUAGCUGAUCUUUAUUAAAGUUAUCAACAAACAAGUUACUUCAGAAAAGUCCUCGUG
rnacentral:lncRNA from 1 species